rnacentral:tRNA from 1 species
ACUUAAAUAAUAUAUAUAUAUUAUAUUUGACUUCCAAUCAAAAAAACUAAAUAUUUAGUUUAAGUA